rnacentral:rRNA from 1 species
AGUGAACGCUGGCGGUAGGCCUAACACAUGCAAGUCGAACGGCAGCACAGUAAGAGCUUGCUCUUACGGGUGGCGAGUGGCGGACGGGUGGGGAAUACAUCGGAAUCUACUUUUUCGUGGGGGAUAACGUAGGGAAACUUACGCUAAUACCGCAUACGACCUACGGGUGAAAGCAGGGGAUCUUCGGACCUUGCGCGAUUGAAUGAGCCGAUGUCGGAUUGGCUAGUUGGCGGGGUAAAGGCCCACCAAGGCGACGAUCCGUAGCUGGUCUGAGAGGAUGGUCAGCCACACUGGAACGGGGCCACGGUCCAGACUCCAACGGGAGGCAGCAGUGGGGAAUAUUGGACAAUGGGCGGAAGCCUGAUCCAGCCAUACCGCGUGGGUGAAGAAGGCCUUCGGGUUGUAAAGCCCUUUUGUUGGGAAAGAAAAGCAGCAGGUUAAUACCCCGCUGUUCUGACGGUACCCAAAGAAUAAGCACCGGCUAACUUCGUG